UAUUGAGGGAAAGUGGUUUCUGUGGAAGUGGGUGGUGGUGAUUAAUUUUAUGUGUCAUCUUGAGCGGGCCAGAAAGUGCCCAGGUUAAACAUUGCUUGGGGAUGUGUCUGAGAAUGCCUGAAGGUGAAAUCAGCACAUGAAAUCAGGGAAUGAAGUAAAGCAGAGGGCACACUCCAAAGUCGGCCUUUGGACUUGGACUCAACUUCACCACCGGUUUUCCUGAGUCUUCACGUCAUACAUAGUUGAUCGUAAUACUUCCCAGUCUCCGUGAUCACAUGAGCAAUAUGGAUAUUCCCUAUGAGAGGCUGCGCAUGUUGCAUUCCAGGAGUCAAUGCGAGUUCCUGUUGCCCACAUGUUCGCCAGCCGCUAAUGCUGCCAAGGCUCUGGACUGUGGCCACUUUAACACGACAAUGGCAGAAACCUACGUACAACUGGCAAUAUGUAUGUACAAUGGAACAAAAUAUUCUCAAAACAUUAUAAUUCGCAAUUGAGGAAAAUAUGAGUAGAUUUAUAAGGAAAAUAUAUAGGAGCUGCCAACAAAAUAAACCUUUUAACGCUUUUCCCUCAUCUCAUCAUCUCUCAUGGCAUUCCACUUAGGAAGUCUCACCCUUCCUUACAUGUUUUGUAGAAAAGAAAUGAGAGGCCGGCACCGCAGCUCACUAGGCUAAUCCUCUGCCUGCGGCGCUGGUACUCUGGGUUCUAGUCCCGGUUGGGAUGCCGGUUCUGUCCCGGUUGCUCCUCUUCCAGGCCAGCUCUCUGCUGUGGCCAGGGAGUGCAGUGGAGGAUGGCGCAAGUGCUUGGGCCCUGCACCCCAUGGGAGACCAGGAGGAAGCACCUGGCUCCUGGCUUCAGGUCGGUGCAGCACCAGCCAUAGUGGCCUUUUGGGGGAUGAACCAACAGAAAAGGGAGAACUUUCUCUCUGUCUCUCUCUCUCUAACUGUCUAACUCUGCCUGUCAAAAAAAGAAAGAAAGAGAGAAAGAGAAAGAGAACGAACGAACGAAAGAACGAAAGAACGAAUGAACGAACGAAAGGAAGGAAGAAAGAAAGAAAGAAAUGAAAUGAGGGAGAAACCAGGUAAUUUUCUGAGGCCAGUUUCUAUCACGAGUGCUUUCAAUAUAUUAAUCUGCUAUUUCAAGCACAUUAUACAUAAAGUCUUUGGAGAAGCUUUUAUUUUUAUGUUUGUUUUGCUGUGCUUCAAAAAUCAAAUUGUUUUAGGCACCCAAAGAUAGGCAUUCAAUACACGAGUCCUAGAAUAAAUUAAAUUAAAUUAAUUUUGUUUUAAAUAAAUCUUCCCCCUCCAUAUUUGUGCUCCAUUCCUGUUGAUUUUUACAAAUAUUUAUUUAUUUAAAAAGGUAGAGAGACAGAAACAGACAGAAAGGCUCAAAGAGAAAUCUCUGCCCUGUUGAUUCAAUCCCCAAGUGCUCAUAACAGUUGGGCCUGGGUCAGACCAAAGCCAGGAGCCAGGAACUCAAACUGAGUCUCCCAUGUGGAUGUCAGGGAGCCAACUGCUUGAGCUAGGGUCUGGGUCUGAUGCCUUCUAAGGUGUGCCUUAGCAGGAAGCUGAAACUAGACUCCGAGCCAGGACUCAAACCCAGGCACCCCAACAGGGGAUGUGGGCAUCCCAAGCGGCACCAAAGUCCCACUCCAAGCCCUGGCAAUCUUUAAACAACAGACUGAAAUAUGAAUUUAUUUACUAGCUUCUUUCUAGGUAUUUCUAGACUAACAUCUCUUAGCCUGAGUUUAUAGUCUACAACUAAGGAGCUUACCAUCCCUCUGAAUGUAAAAUAGGUUUUGAAUCCUUUGAAUAAAGUUAAAGAUGUGUGUCCACAACUGUACAGUUUUUUUCCUGAGUAGACAUUUCACUUCUUUUUUCAGAAAUUUUAAGAUGUCUUAUUCUUAAAGGAAACAAUGACUCCUAAAAGGAUAAG